GACGAACGCUGGCGGCGUGCCUAAUACAUGCAAGUCGAGCGAACACAAGAGGAGCUUGCUCCUCUUGGUUAGCGGCGGACGGGUGAGUAACACGUGGGCAACCUGCCUGUAAGACUGGGAUAACACCGGGAAACCGGUGCUAAUACCGGAUAAUCCUUUUCCUCUCAUGAGGAAAAGUUGAAAGUCGGUUUACGCUGACACUUACAGAUGGGCCCGCGGCGCAUUAGCUAGUUGGUGAGGUAACGGCUCACCAAGGCGACGAUGCGUAGCCGCACUGCGAGGGUGAUCGUCCGCACUGGGACUGGGACACGGCCCAGACUCCUACGGGAGGCAGCAGUAGGGAAUCUUCCGCAAUGGACGAAAGUCUGACGGAGGAACGCCGCGUGAGCGAUGAAGGCCUUCGGGUCGUAAAGCUCUGUUGUUAGGGAAGAACAAGUAUCGGAGUAACUGCCGGUACCUUGACGGUACCUAACCAGAAAGCCACGGCUAACUACGUGCCAGCCGCCGCGGUAA
rnacentral:rRNA from 1 species